GAUGAACGCUGGCGGCGUGCCUAACACAUGCAAGUCGAGCGAAGCAUACAGGAGGAAGUUUUCGGAUGGAAUCCUGUAUGACUGAGCGGCGGACGGGUGAGUAACGCGUGGGUAACCUGCCUUAUACUGGGGGAUAACAGUUAGAAAUGACUGCUAAUACCGCAUAAGCGCACAGUACCGCAUGGUACGGUGUGAAAAACUCCGGUGGUAUAAGAUGGACCCGCGUCUGAUUAGCCAGUUGGCGGGGUAACGGCCCACCAAAGCGACGAUCAGUAGCCGACCUGAGAGGGUGACCGGCCACAUUGGGACUGAGACACGGCCCAA
rnacentral:rRNA from 1 species